AAAUAACCUAUAACGUUUCUAUGCUCUUUCCCAAUAGGGCCUGGUGUACAGUGGCUGCAACCAGCAGCCUCCUUGGUGGUGUACACAGCCUGUUGCUCAUAUGGGUUGCUCUAAGGGACCUUGGAAACGUUC